rnacentral:rRNA from 1 species
CCAGCAUUGAAAGAGUGCUGAAUAGCUCACUAGUCGAGUGACACUGCGCCGAAAAUGUACCGGGGCUAAACAUAUUACCGAAGCUGUGGAUUGUCCUUUGGACAAUGGUAGGAGAGCGUUCUAAGGGCGUCGAAGCAUGAUCGCAAGGACAUGUGGAGCGCUUAGAAGUGAGAAUGCCGGUGUGAGUAGCGAAAGACGGGUGAGAAUCCCGUCCACCGAUUGACUAAGGUUUCCAGAGGAAGGCUCGUCCGCUCUGGGUUAGUCGGGUCCUAAGCUGAGGCCGACAGGCGUAGGCGAUGGAUAACAGGUUGAUAUUCCUGUACCACCUAGUAUCGUUUUAAUCGAUGGGGGGACGCAGUAGGAUAGGCGAAGCGUGCUGUUGGAGUGCACGUCCAAGCAGUAAGGCUGAGUGUUAGGCAAAUCCGGCACUCAUAAGGCUGAGCUGUGAUGGGGAGAGGAAAUUGUUUCCUCGAGUCGUUGAUUUCACACUGCCGAGAAAAGCCUCUAGAUAGAUAACAGGUGCCCGUACCGCAAACCGACACAGGUAGUCAAGAUGAGAAUUCUAAGGUGAGCGAGCGAACUCUCGUUAAGGAACUCGGCAAAAUGACCCCGUAACUUCGGGAGAAGGGGUGCUCUUUAGGGUUCACGCCCAGAAGAGCCGCAGUGAAUAGGCCCAAGCGACUGUUUAUCAAAAACACAGGUCUCUGCUAAACCGUAAGGUGAUGUAUAGGGGCUGACGCCUGCCCGGUGCUGGAAGGUUAAGAGGAGUGGUUAGCUUCUGCGAAGCUACGAAUCGAAGCCCCAGUAAACGGCGGCCGUAACUAUAACGGUCCUAAGGUAGCGAAAUUCCUUGUCGGGUAAGUUCCGACCCGCACGAAAGGCGUAACGAUUUGGGCACUGUCUCAACGAGAGACUCGGUGAAAUCAUAGUACCUGUGAAGAUGCAGGUUACCCGCGACAGGACGGAAAGACCCCGUGGAGCUUUACUGUAGCCUGAUAUUGAAAUUCGGCACAGCUUGUACAGGAUAGGUAGGAGCCUUUGAAACGUGAGCGCUAGCUUACGUGGAGGCGUUGGUGGGAUACUACCCUAGCUGUGUUGGCUUUCUAACCCGCACCACUUAUCGUGGUGGGAGACAGUGUCAGGCGGGCAGUUUGACUGGGGCGGUCGCCUCCUAAAAGGUAACGGAGGCGCUCAAAGGUUCCCUCAGAAUGGUUGGAAAUCAUUCAUAGAGUGUAAAGGCAUAAGGGAGCUUGACUGCGAGACCUACAAGUCGAGCAGGGUCGAAAGACGGACUUAGUGAUCCGGUGGUUCCGCAUGGAAGGGCCAUCGCUCAACGGAUAAAAGCUACCCCGGGGAUAACAGGCUUAUCUCCCCCAAGAGUUCACAUCGACGGGGAGGUUUGGCACCUCGAUGUCGGCUCAUCGCAUCCUGGGGCUGUAGUCGGUCCCAAGGGUUGGGCUGUUCGCCCAUUAAAGCGGUACGCUAGCUGGGUUCAGAACGUCGUGAGACAGUUCGGUCCCUAUCCGUCGUGGGCGUAGGAAAUUUGAGAGGAGCUGUCCUUAGUACGAGAGGACCGGGAUGGACAUACCUCUGGUGUACCAGUUGUCGUGCCAACGGCAUAGCUGGGUAGCUAUGUAUGGACGGGAUAAGUGCUGAAAGCAUCUAAGCAUGAAGCCCCCCUCAAGAUGAGAUUUCCCAACUUCGGUUAUAAGAUCCCUCGAAGAUGACGAGGUUAAUAGGUUCGAGGUGGAAGCGUGGUGACACGUGGAGCUGACGAAUACUAAUCGAUCGAAGACUUAAUCAAUUUUUAAA